rnacentral:rRNA from 1 species
CCCCUAGAUGUUCUGGGCCGCACGCGCGCUACACUGAACAGUUCAACAAGUCUUAACCUUGGCCGAUAGGUCUGGGUAAUCUUUGAACGCUGUUCGUGAUUGGGAUAGACCUUUGCAAUUAUGGGUCUUCAACGAGGAAUUCCUAGUAAACGCAAGUCAUCAGCUUGCAUUGAUCACGUCCCUGCCCUUUGUACACACCGCCCGUCGCACCUACCGAUUGAAUGGUCCGGUGAAAUCUCGGGACGGCGGCUUGGUCGCUUGCGUCCGACUGCUGAAACUUGAUUAAACCAUAUCAUUUAGAGGAAGGUGAAGUCGUAACA